rnacentral:rRNA from 1 species
GGGUUGUGAGGUUAAGCGACUAAGCGUACACGGUGGAUGCCCUGGCAGUCAGAGGCGAUGAAGGACGUGCUAAUCUGCGAUAAGCGUCGGUAAGGUGAUAUGAACCGUUAUAACCGGCGAUUUCCGAAUGGGGAAACCCAGUGUGAUUCGUCACACUAUCAUUAACUGAAUCCAUAGGUUAAUGAGGCGAACCGGGGGAACUGAAACAUCUAAGUACCCCGAGGAAAAGAAAUCAAUCGAGAUUCCCCCAGUAGCGGCGAGCGAACGGGGAGCAGCCCAGAGCCUGAAUCAGUGUGUGUGUUAGUGGAAGCGUCUGGAAAGGCGUGCGAUACAGGGUGACAGCCCCGUACACAAAAAUGCACAUAUUGUGAGCUCGAUGAGUAGGGCGGGACACGUGGUAUCCUGUCUGAAUAUGGGGGGACCAUCCUCCAAGGCUAAAUACUCCUGACUGACCGAUAGUGAACCAGUACCGUGAGGGAAAGGCGAAAAGAACCCCGGCGAGGGGAGUGAAAAAGAACCUGAAACCGUGUACGUACAAGCAGUGGGAGCACAGAGCAAUCUGUGUGACUGCGUACCUUUUGUAUAAUGGGUCAGCGACUUAUAUUCUGUAGCAAGGUUAACCGAAUAGGGGAGCCGAAGGGAAACCGAGUCUUAACUGGGCGUUAAGUUGCAGGGUAUAGACCCGAAACCCGGUGAUCUAGCCAUGGGCAGGUUGAAGGUUGGGUAACACUAACUGGAGGACCGAACCGACUAAUGUUGAAAAAUUAGCGGAUGACUUGUGGCUGGGGUGAAAGGCCAAUCAAACGGGGAGAUAGCUGGUUCUCCUCGAAAGCUAUUUAGGUAGCGCCUCGUGAAUUCAUCUCGGGGGUAGAGCACUGUUUCGGCAAGGGGGUCAUCCCGACUUACCAACCCGAUGCAAACUGCGAAUACCGAGAAUGUUAUCACGGAGACACACGGCGGGUGCUAACGUCCGUCGUGAAGAGGGAAACCCAGACCGCCAGCUAAGGUCCCAAAGUCAUGGUUAAGUGGAAACGAUGUGGGAAGGCCCAGACAGCGGGAUGUUGGCUUAGAAGCAGCCAUCAUUUAAAGAAAGCGUAAUAGCUCACUGGUCGAGUCGGCCUGCGCGGAAGAUGUAACGGGGCUAAACCAUGCACCGAAGCUGCGGGCAGCGACGCUUAUGCGUUGUUGGGUAGGGAGCGUUCUGUAAGCCUGCGAAGGUGUGCUGUGAGGCAUGCUGGAGGUAUCAGAAGUGCGAAUGCUGACAUAAGUAACGAUAAAGCGGGUGAAAAGCCCGCUCGCCGGAAGACCAAGGGUUCCUGUCCAACGUUAAUCGGGGCAGGGUGAGUCGACCCCUAAGGCGAGGCCGAAAGGCGUAGUCGAUGGGAAACAGGUUAAUAUUCCUGUACUUGGUGUUACUGCGAAGGGGGACGGAGAAGGCUAUGUUGGCGGGCGACGGUUGUCCCGUUUAAGCGUGUAGGCUGGUUUUCCGUGCAAAUCCGGAAAAUCAAGGCUGAGGCGUGAUGACGAGGCACUACGGUGCUGAAGCAACAAAUGCCCUGCUUCGAGGAAAAGCCUCUAAGCAUCAGGUAACAUCAAAUCGUACCCCAAACCGACACAGGUGGUCAGGUAGAGAAUACCAAGGCGCUUGAGAGAACUCGGGUGAAGGAACUAGGCAAAAUGGUGCCGUAACUUCGGGAGAAGGCACGCUGAUAUGUAGGUGAAGCGACUUGCUCGUGGAGCUGAAAUCAGUCGAAGAUACCAGCUGGCUGCAACUGUUUAUUAAAAACACAGCACUGUGCAAACACGAAAGUGGACGUAUACGGUGUGACGCCUGCCCGGUGCCGGAAGGUUAAUUGAUGGGGUUAGCGCAAGCGAAGCUCUUGAUCGAAGCCGGUAAACGGCGGCCGUAACUAUAACGGUCCUAAGGUAGCGAAAUUCCUUGUCGGGUAAGUUCCGACCUGCACGAAUGGCGUAAUGAUGGCGGGCUGUCUCCACCCGAGACUCAGUGAAAUUGAACUCGCUGUGAAGAUGCAGUGUACCCGCGGCAAGACGGAAAGACCCCGUGAACCUUUACUAUAGCUUGACACUGAACAUUGAGCCUUGAUGUGUAGGAUAGGUGGGAGGCUUUGAAGUGUGGACGCCAGUCUGCAUGGAGCCGACCUUGAAAUACCACCUUUAAUGUUUGAUGUUCUAACGUGGACCCGUAAUCCGGGUUGCGGACAGUGUCUGGUGGGUAGUUUGACUGGGGCGGUCUCCUCCUAAAGAGUAACGGAGGAGCACGAAGGUUGGCUAAUCCUCGGUCGGACAUCAGGAGGUUAGUGCAAUGGCAUAAGCCAGCUUGACUGCGAGCGUGACGGCGCGAGCAGGUGCGAAAGCAGGUCAUAGUGAUCCGGUGGUUCUGAAUGGAAGGGCCAUCGCUCAACGGAUAAAAGGUACUCCGGGGAUAACAGGCUGAUACCGCCCAAGAGUUCAUAUCGACGGCGGUGUUUGGCACCUCGAUGUCGGCUCAUCACAUCCUGGGGCUGAAGUAGGUCCCAAGGGUAUGGCUGUUCGCCAUUUAAAGUGGUACGCGAGCUGGGUUUAGAACGUCGUGAGACAGUUCGGUCCCUAUCUGCCGUGGGCGCUGGAGAAUUGAGGGGGGCUGCUCCUAGUACGAGAGGACCGGAGUGGACGCAUCACUGGUGUUCGGGUUGUCAUGCCAAUGGCACUGCCCGGUAGCUAAAUGCGGAAGAGAUAAGUGCUGAAAGCAUCUAAGCACGAAACUUGCCCCGAGAUGAGUUCUCCCUGACUCCUUGAGAGUCCUGAAGGAACGUUGAAGACGACGACGUUGAUAGGCCGGGUGUGUAAGCGCAGCGAUGCGUUGAGCUAACCGGUACUAAUGAACCGUGAGGCUUAACCUUACAACGCCGAAGGUGUUU